GAUGAACGCUGGCGGCGUGCCUAAUACAUGCAAGUCGAGCGAACAGACGAGGAGCUUGCUCCUUUGACGUUAGCGGCGGACGGGUGAGUAACACGUAGGUAACCUACCUAUAAGACUGGGAUAACUUCGGGAAACCGGAGCUAAUACCGGAUAAUAUUUCGAACCGCAUGGUUCGAUAGUGAAAGAUGGCUUUGCUAUCACUUAUAGAUGGACCUGCGCCGUAUUAGCUAGUUGGUAAGGUAACGGCUUACCAAGGCAACGAUACGUAACCGACCUGAGAGGGUGAUCGGCCACACUGGAACUGAGACACGGUCCAGACUCCUACGGGAGGCAGCAGUAGGGAAUCUUCCGCAAUGGGCGAAAGCCUGACGGAGCAACGCCGCGUGAGUGAUGAAGGUCUUCGGAUCGUAAAACUCUGUUAUUAGGGAAGAACAAACGUGUAAGUAACUGUGCACGUCUUGACGGUACCUAAUCAGAAAGCCACGGCUAACUACGUG
rnacentral:rRNA from 1 species